GCCUGCAUAGCUCAGUUGGUUAGAGUGUUGUGCUGAUAAUGCCAAGGUUGCAGGUUCUGUCCCCGUAUGGGACA
rnacentral:tRNA from 1 species